UGGGGAAUCUUCCGCAAUGGGCGCCAGCCUGACGGAGCCAGACCGCGUGGGGGAGGAAGGCCCUUGGGUUGUAAACCCCUUUUCUCAGGGAAGAAACCUGACGGUACCUGAGGAAAAAGCCUCGGCUAACUCCGUGCCAGCAGCCGCGGUAAUACGGAGGAGGCAAGCGUUAUCCGGAAUUACUGGGCGUAAAGCGUCCGUAGGGGGCUCGUCAAGUCUGCUGUCAAAGCUCGGAGCGAAACGCGGACCCGGCAGUGGAAACUGGGGAGCUAGAGGGCGGCAGGGGCAGAAGGAAUUCCCGGUGUAGCGGUGAAAUGCGUAGAUAUCGGGAAGAACACCAGAGGCGAAAGCGUUCUGCUGGGCCGCACCUGACCCUGAGGGACGAAAGCCAGGGGAGCGAAUG
rnacentral:rRNA from 1 species